CAGCAGCCGCGGUAAUACGAAGGGGGCUAGCGUUGCUCGGAAUCACUGGGCGUAAAGGGUGCGUAGGCGGGUCUUUAAGUCAGGGGUGAAAUCCUGGAGCUCAACUCCAGAACUGCCUUUGAUACUGAAGAUCUUGAGUUCGGGAGAGGUGAGUGGAACUGCGAGUGUAGAGGUGAAAUUCGUAGAUAUUCGCAAGAACACCAGUGGCGAAGGCGGCUCACUGGCCCGAUACUGACGCUGAGGCACGAAAGCGUGGGGAGCAAACAGGAUUAGAUACCCGUGUAGUCCCUGUCUCUUAUAA
rnacentral:rRNA from 1 species